UACGAAGGUGGCAAGCGUUAUUCGAAAUCACUGGGCUUAAAGGGCGCGCAGGCGGACAUGAAAGUGUUUUGUGAAAUCCCCCGGCUUAACCGGGGAAUGGCUUGGCAAACUACAUGUCUUGAGUCAAGUAGGGGUGUGUGGAACUCUUGGUGGAGCGGUGGAAUGCGUAGAUAUCAAGAGGAACGCCGAAGGUGAAGACAGCACACUGGGCUUGAACUGACGCUGAGGCGCGAAAGCGUGGGGAGCAAACAGGAUUAGAUACCCUGGUAGUCCACGCCGUAAACGAUGUGUACUAGGUUGCGGAGGUUCUGACACCCUCGCAGUCGCAGCAAAAGUGUUAAGUACACCGCCUGGGGAGUACGGUCGCAAGGCUAAA
rnacentral:rRNA from 1 species